GUCUACACAGGCUCUGGUCCUCUGAUGGUCCCUGCCACUGGUGGCUAACUUUCAGGCGCAAAGCGGUCUAGGUGACCCUCCUACUUGGAACCACAGAGAGCUGUAACAGCUCUCGCACCAGGUGAUGUACACUACUCUACCUUCAAGAGCACUGGAUUCGCUUCCCAGAAAUGAGCCCGGAGAAAUAAAGAGAGAUGAAGACAAUCAAAUGAAUAAAAGCGAACUUCAUGAAUAAAACAUGAAGAACUGGGAUCAGAUCAUAUUAAGGAGGGCCCUUUGGUAUGAUGGCUCUUCACACACAGCCACCAAGCUUGGAAUGCCAGCUCAGAGACUGCCUGAAGCCACUGGCUUCGUCUUCCGGUUUUAAGUGAGACCACUUAAGUGUUCACCACACAGGCUCAUCCUCCUGUCUUUCUGCCCGUUCGCAAUCCUCACAAAUAAAAAAUUUCCU